rnacentral:rRNA from 1 species
UGAGCAAUCUGCCCUUCUCUUUGGAAUAAGCGUUGGAAACGACGUCUAAUGCCGAAUACGACCUCCUUUCGCAUGAUCGGAGGUGGAAAGCUCCGGCGGAGAAGGAUGAGCUCGCGGCCUAUCAGCUAGUUGGUGUGGGUAACGGCCCACCAAGGCGACGACGGGUAGCCGGCCUGAGAGGGUGACCGGCCACACUGGGACUGAGACACGGCCUAGACUCCGUAACGGGGAAGCAGCAGG